AUAGCGAGGACGCUGGAAGGAUAAACGACUCAGGAUGAGGGUCAGGAGCGCCAGGAGGCGAAGACACAGGAUUGUCAGGAAGACAGACGUCCGGAGACGUUGAGAUUACGGAAAUGGAAAAGACACGGAACGUUCCAGGCUGAAGGAAAAACAGGGUGCGUUGAGAGCCGACACGGAAUGUAGAACCCGUUAAGGGUUGUGAGUCAGGUUAAAAGGCGACAGAGCAAUCUGUCGCCUUUUUUCUUUAUUU
rnacentral:sRNA from 1 species